rnacentral:pre_miRNA from 1 species
AAAAAGAUAAACCAUGGAUUUCCGUGUCCAACGUUUGACUGUCCGUCUUAUAUGAAAUUUUUGUAUAAUUAGUAUUUUCAUUGUUGUUAGAUGAUAAAACAUGAUUAAUACUUUAUACGUGACUUGUCUUUUUAAUUUUUUUAAUAUUUUUUCAAAUAAGAUGGAUGGUCAAACAUUGGACAUGGAAACCCAGAGUUUAUCUUUUU